AUUGAACGCUGGCGGCAGGCCUAACACAUGCAAGUCGAACGAGUGGCGGACGGGCGAGUAAUGUCUGGGAAACUGCCUGAUGGAGGGGGAUAACUACUGGAAACGGUAGCUAAUACCGCAUACCAUCGGAUGUGCCCAGAGGGGAUUAGCUAGUAGGGGGGGAAAUGGCUGACCUAGGCGACGAUCCCUAGCUGGGCGGAGAGGAUGACCAGCCACACUGGAACUGCGACACGGUCCAGACUCCUACGGGAGGCAGCAGUGGGGAAUAUUUCACGAUGGGCGCAAGCCUGAUGCAGCCAUGCCGCGUGUGUGAAGAAGGCCUUCGGGUUGUAAAGCACUUUCAGCGAGGAGGCGUUACUCGCAGAAGAAGCACCGGCUAACUCCGUGCCAGCAGCCGCGGUAAUAC
rnacentral:rRNA from 1 species